AGAGCUAACGCAGGGAACUGAAACAUCUUAGUACCUGCAGGAAGAGAAAAUAAAUGAAUGAUUCCCCCAGUAGUGGCGAGCGAACGGGGAACAGCCCAAACCAGUGGCGUCGCAAGGCGUGGCUGGGGUUGUAGGACCGCGACAUUGUAUGCAAAUCGUGAACAGAACACUUUGGAAAAUGUGACCAUAGACGGUGAUAGUCCAGUAUGUGAAGCGAAAUGCAGCAUAGCGGUAUCCUGAGUAACGCGGGACACGAGGAAUCCUGCGCGAAUCUGCCGGGACCAUCCGGUAAGGCUAAAUACUCCCGUGAGACCGAUAGCGAACGAGUACUGUGAAGGAAAGGUGAAAAGAACCCCGAGCAGGGGAGUGAAAUAGUUCCUGAAACCAUACGCCUACAAGCGGUCGGAGCAUCUUACGAUGUGACGGCGUGCCUUUUGCAUAAUGAUCCUACGAGUUACCGUCACUGGCGAGGUUGAGUGUCACGAGACACGUAGCCGCAGUGAAAGCGAGCCUGAAGAGGGCGCACAGUCAGUGGGGGUAGACGCGAAACCAAGUGAUCUACACUUGGCCAGGAUGAAGUCCCGGUAACACGGGAUGGAGGUCCGCACCAAUAAGCGUUGAAAAGCUUCUGGAUGAGCCGAGUGUAGGAGUGAAAGGCCAAUCAAACUUGGAGAUAGCUCGUACUCCCCGAAAGGCAUUUAGGUGCCGCGUCGGAUGGUCACCGUGAGAGGUAGAGCGACCGAUAGGACAAGAGGGCUUCACCGCCUAUCGAGUCCUGACGAACUCCGAAUGCUCACGGUCUGCAGUCCGGCAGUAAGGGGGCGGGUGCUAAGGUCCGUCCCCGAGAGGAGAAGAAUCCAGACCGCCGUCUAAGGUCCCGGAGUUCUGCCUGAGUUAGUCUAACGAAGUCUGGUCCCUAUGACAGCUAGGAUGUUGGCUUGGAAGCAGCCAUUCAUUCAAAGAGUGCGUAACAGCUCACUAGUCGAGGGUCCGGGCAUGGAUAAUAAUCGGGUAUAAGGCAGAUACCGAAGGCGCGGGAUAGCAAUAAUAAAAGUAUCGGUAGGGGAGCAUACUCACAGCGUCGAAUGGUGUACGUAAGUUAUCCUGGAGCGGUGAGUAAAGCAAAUGUAGGAAUAAGUAACGAUAAGGAGGGUUAGAUUCCCUCCCGCUGUAAGACCAAGGUUUCCCGGGCAAUGCCAAUCAGCCCGGGGUCAGUCGGGUCCUAAGUCUAAGCCGAACGGCGAUGGCGAUGGCAGAGACGGUUAAUAUUCCGUCACUGCCGCAUGGGGCGACGUGGAGACGGAGCAGUGAAACCACCGCGGGGCGACGGAAGUCCCCGUUGAAGAGUGUAGGUGUUGAGGAUGGCAGGCAAAUCCACCAUCCGAGCUGAACUUGACAGUACGGAGUCCUCCUCGGAGGAAUCUGAUAGUGUGGGUAAUCAUACUCCCGAGAAAAUCCGCUAAGCUUAACCCAUGCGGCACCCGUACCGCAAACGGACACACGUGGUCGGGUAGAACAUACUAAGGCGUUGAGAGAUUCAUGGUUAAGGAACUAGGCAAAUUGACCCUGUAACUUCGGGAUAAAGGGUCCUCGUGAUGAGCGAGGCGCAGAGAAUAGGUCCAGGCAACUGUUUAACAAAAACACAGGGCUGUGCAAACUCGAAAGAUGACGUAUACAGCCUGACACCUGCCCGGUGCCGGAAGGUUAAGAGGAGAUGUCACUCGCAAGAGGAAGCAUUGAAUUGAAGCCCCGGUAAACGGCGGCCGUAACUAUAACGGUCCUAAGGUAGCGAAAUUCCUUGUCGGGUAAGUUCCGACCUGCACGAAUGGUGUAAUGAUCUGGACGCUGUCUCAACCGUGAGCUCAGUGAAAUUGUAGUAUCGGUGAAGAUGCCGAUUACCCGCGAUGGGACGAAAAGACCCCGUGAACCUUUACUACAGCUUAGCAUUGACCUUGGUCAUCCGAUGUGUAGGAUAGGCCGGAGGCUUCGAAGCGGGAGCGCCAGCUUUCGUGGAGCCAUCCUUGAAAUACGGCCCUUUGGCUGUCUGAGGUCUAAC
rnacentral:rRNA from 1 species